rnacentral:rRNA from 1 species
AGGAGUCUGGGCUGUGUCUCUGUCCCAGUGUGGCUGAUCAUCCUCUCGGACCAGCUACUGAUCAUCGCCUUGGUAAGCUAUUACCUCACCAACUAGCUAAUAAGACGCGAGCCCCUCCUUCGGCGGAUUUCACACGGAAUGAUUGGGCAUAGAGCGUCUUUAGGUGGCUUUUCAAGUCCGCCGUCAAAUCCCAGGGCCCAACCCUGGACAGGCGGUGGAAACUACCAAGCUAGAGUACGGUAGGGGCAGAGGGAAUUUCCGGUGGAGCGGUGAAAUGCAUUGAGAUCGGAAAGAACACCAACGGCGAAAGCACUCUGCUGGGCCGACACUAACACUAAGAGAAGAAAGAUAGGGGAGCAAAUGGGAUUAGAGACCCCGGUAGUCUUAGCAAUAACGAUGGAUACUAGGUGCUGUGCGACUCGACCCGUGCAGUGAUGUAGCUAACGCGUUAAGUAUCCCGCCUGGGAGUAGGUUCGCAAGAAUGAAACUCAAAGGAAUUAAUGGGGGCCCGCACAAGCAGUGGAGCAUGUGGUUUAAUUUGAUACAAAGCAAAGAACCUUAAGAGGGCUUGACAUGCCGCGAAUCCUCUUGAAAGAGAGGGGUGCCCUCGGGAACGCGGACACAGGUGGUGCAUGGCUGUUGUCAUCUCGUGCCGUAAGGUGUUGGGUUAAGUCUCACAAUGAGCGCCACCCUCGUGUUUAGUUGCCACUAUGAGUUUGGAACCCUGAAAAGACUGCCGGUGUUAAGCCGGAGGAAAGAGAGAAUGAGGCCAAGUCAUCAUGCCCCUUAUGCCCUGGGCGACACACAUGCUACAAUGGGCGGGACAAAGGGUCGCGAUCUCUCAAGGGUGAGCUAAAUCCAAAAACCCGUCCUUAGUUCUGAUUCCAGGCUGCAACUCGCUUGCAUGAAGCAGGAAUCGCUAGUAAUUGUCGGUCAGCCAUACGGCGGUGAAUCCGUUCCCGGGCCUUGUACAUACCGCCCGUCACACUAUAGGAGCUGGCCAUGUUUGAAGUCAUUACCCUUAACCGUAAGGAGGGUGAUGCCUAAGGCUAGGCUUGCGACUGGAGUGAAAUCGUAACAAGGUAGCCGUACUGGAAGGUGCGGCUGGAUCACCUCCUUU